GGGUGUGCUACCUUUUGGUGGCCUCUCAUGGGCCCCACCCAAAUACCACAUGUGUUAAAUGGGCCUCCAUAUUUUAUGGAGGGUCCCAUACAAUUUUGACAAAUUUUUUAUUUUGAAUAUAGAAAUUUAAUUCUCAUAAUUUAUUUAAAACAUUGAAAAAUGAUUUUAUCUUAAUUUAUAAAUUCAAAUGACAAAAAUAAAAUAUCAGAAGAUUCACAAAAAUUCAAAUAAGCAUUCUAAAAAUCAUAUAACAUAAAAUUAAGUAAAAUUAAUUAAUUUUGAUGGAAAUCGAAUCCAUUCUAGUCUAGAAAUUUAUCAACGCACAGGAGCACUCUACCUUCACUGUGAACCGCG
rnacentral:lncRNA from 1 species